rnacentral:misc_RNA from 1 species
UCCGGCUUAUCACCGGCAGUCGCCUUAGAGUGCCCAACUAAAUGAUGGCAACUAAGGCCGAGGGUUGCGCUCGUUGCGGGACUUAACCCAACAUCUCACGACACGAGCUGACGACAGCCAUGCAGCACCUGUGCAUCUUGGUAUUGCUACCUCGUCAGGUUUUCACCCUUCUACUAGAUGCAUGUCAAGGCCAGGUAAGGUUCUUCGCGUUGCAUCGAAUUAAGCCACAUACUCCACCGCUUGUGCAGGCCCCCGUCAAUUCCUUUGAGUUUUAGCCUUGCGGCCGUACUCCCCAGGCGGGGUGCUUAAUGCGUUAGCUUCGGCACGGACGGGGUCGAUAUCCGCCCACACCUAGCACCCAACGUUUACGGCGUGGACUGC